rnacentral:rRNA from 1 species
UAGGUGUUGGGCGGGCUUUGAGCCCGCCCAGUGCCGCAGGGAAGCCGUUAAGCCCGCCGCCUGGGGAGUACGGCCGCAAGGCUGAAACUUAAAGGAAUUGGCGGGGGAGCACCACAAGGGGUGGAGCCUGCGGCUUAAUUGGAGUCAACGCCGGGAAUCUUACCGGGGGCGACAGCAGGAUGACGGCCAGGCUAACGACCUUGCCCGACACGCUGAGAGGAGGUGCAUGGCCGUCGCCAGCUCGUGCCGUGAGGCGUCCGGUUAAGUCCGGCAACGAGCGAGAUCCCCACCCCCAGUUGCUAUCCCGGUCUCCGGAUCGGGAGUACACUGGGGAGACUGCCGCCGAUAAGGCGGAGGAAGGAGGGGGCCACGGCAGGUCAGCAUGCCCCGAAUCCCCCGGGCUGCACGCGGGCUACAAUGGCGGGGACAGCGGGUGCCGACCCCGAAAGGGGGAGGUAAUCCCUGAAACCCCGCUGUGGUUGGGAUCGAGGGCUGAAAUUCGCCCUCGUGAACGUGGAAUCCCUAGUAACCGUGCGUCAACAUCGCGCGGUGAAUACGUCCCUGCUCCUUGUACACACCGCCCGUCA